rnacentral:rRNA from 1 species
UGGGGAAUAUUGGACAAUGGGCGAAAGCCUGAUCCAGCCAUGCCGCGUGUGUGAAGAAGGUCUUCGGAUUGUAAAGCACUUUAAGUUGGGAGGAAGGGCAGUAAGCGAAUACCUUGCUGUUUUGACGUUACCGACAGAAUAAGCACCGGCUAACUCUGUGCCAGCAGCCGCGGUAAUACAGAGGGUGCAAGCGUUAAUCGGAAUUACUGGGAGUAAAGCGCGCGUAGGUGGUUCGUUAAGUUGAAUGUGAAAGCCCCGGGCUCAACCUGGGAACUGCAUCCAAAACUGGCGAGCUAGAGUAGGGCAGAGGGUGGUGGAAUUUCCUGUGUAGCGGUGAAAUGCGUAGAUAUAGGAAGGAACACCCGUGGCGAAGGCGCCCACCUGGGCUCAUACUGACACUGAGGUGCGACAGCGUGGGGAGCAAACAGG